rnacentral:rRNA from 1 species
GCCUGGGAAUACCAGGUGCUGAAAGCCGUCUGAUCUCAGAAGCUAAGCAGGGUCGGGCCUGGUUAGUACUUGGAAGGGAGAUUGCCUGGGAAUACCAGGUGCUGUAAGCU